GAUUGAUGGCGAGUGGCGAACGGGUGAGUAAUACAUCGGAACGUGCCCUGUAGUGGGGGAUAACUAGUCGAAAGAUUAGCUAAUACCGCAUACGACCUGAGGGUGAAAGUGGGGGACCGCAAGGCCUCAUGCUAUAGGAGCGGCCGAUGUCUGAUUAGCUAGUUGGUGGGGUAAAGGCCCACCAAGGCGACGAUCAGUAGCUGGUCUGAGAGGACGAUCAGCCACACUGGGACUGAGACACGGCCCAGACUCCUACGGGAGGCAGCAGUGGGGAAUUUUGGACAAUGGGCGAAAGCCUGAUCCAGCAAUGCCGCGUGUGUGAAGAAGGCCUUCGGGUUGUAAAGCACUUUUGUCCGGAAAGAAAUGGCUCUGGUUAAUACCUGGGGUCGAUGACGGUACCGGAAGAAUAAGGACCGGCUAACUACGUGCCAGCAGCCGCGGUAAUACGUAGGGUCCAAGCGUUAAUCGGAAUUACUGGGCGUAAAGCGUGCGCAGGCGGUUGUGCAAGACCGAUGUGAAAUCCCCGAGCUUAACUUGGGAAUUGCAUUGGUGACUGCACGGCUAGAGUGUGUCAGAGGGGGGUAGAAUUCCACGUGUAGCAGUGAAAUGCGUAGAGAUGUGGAGGAAUACCGAUGGCGAAGGCAGCCCCCUGGGAUAACACUGACGCUCAUGCACGAAAGCGUGGGGAGCAAACAGGAUUAGAUACCCUGGUAGUCCACGCCCUAAACGAUGUCAACUAGUUGUUGGGGAUUCAUUUCCUUAGUAACGUAGCUAACGCGUGAAGUUGACCGCCUGGGGAGUACGGUCGCAAGAUUAAAACUCAAAGGAAUUGACGGGGACCCGCACAAGCGGUGGAUGAUGUGGAUUAAUUCGAUGCAACGCGAAAAACCUUACCUACCCUUGACAUGCCACUAACGAAGCAGAGAUGCAUUAGGUGCUCGAAAGAGAAAGUGGACACAGGUGCUGCAUGGCUGUCGUCAGCUCGUGUCGUGAGAUGUUGGGUUAAGUCCCGCAACGAGCGCAACCCUUGUCUCUAGUUGCUACGAAAGGGCACUCUAGAGAGACUGCCGGUGACAAACCGGAGGAAGGUGGGGAUGACGUCAAGUCCUCAUGGCCCUUAUGGGUAGGGCUUCACACGUCAUACAAUGGUGCAUACAGAGGGUUGCCAAGCCGCGAGGUGGAGCUAAUCCCAGAAAAUGCAUCGUAGUCCGGAUCGUAGUCUGCAACUCGACUACGUGAAGCUGGAAUCGCUAGUAAUCGCGGAUCAGCAUGCCGCGGUGAUACGUUCCCGGGUCUUGUACACACCGCCCGUCACACCAUGGGAGUGGGCUUUACCAGAAG
rnacentral:rRNA from 1 species